GGUAGUAAAUUAGGUAGAUGCAGAAUUCUUUGAAAUUGUUGCUAGAAUUCUUUGAAAUAGUUGCUAAAACAAAAUAAGCAGUGUUUAUCUCAUGAAACUUGUAAAAAUCCUAUAAUGGUAUUUGUAACUUUAUAUUCCAUUCAGGCAUGAGCACAAAGAUUAGCUGGAAUAUGUCAGAGCAAAUGUAAUCUAAGUAAAAUACACAGACAGAAAGAAGAUGGCAAAAAGGGUUUGGUAUUUUUGAUCCAGACUUAAACUUUGUUAUCUGCACAUCGAUAUUUUGUGCAGCUGUGGGUUGUAAAGGACAUGCGGUCGCUUAUUUUAUUAAUAAUGGUCACACCAAAAUGUCUGAAAUAUAAGCAGGCUAGUCAUUUUGCAGUAUCUCUGUGAACCGUGAAUGCAUAAGCAAAACCCAGAUGUUUUCAUUUCAUAUAAGGUGACACUUAGUGGGCACAGGCUGACUAACCACUGUCCAUCCCCAACCACACUGCAGCUGUAUCCAGAUCUCAUCAUAAAAACUGUUCCAGCCAUUCAGCAUGCAGAAAUCUCAGAAGUAAACUCAGCUUCUUAAAGAGCUUGCUUAAGUGAAAAUAGUACUGUAGACUUGGAAGGAUAUGGUUUCUCCUGGAUUAGAGUGUUUCAGUGGAGAGUUGAAGCCAAUUAGAGCAGCACAUGCUCUGAUACUACUUCUAAGCACAGAAAGAAGAUUUCAUCUCCCAUCCCAGUGAAGGUACAUCACCAGUCGAUAGAGAAUUUUGAAAGAGGUUGAUCAAAAGCAGCUUCUGCAUGGAAAUCAGCUAAUACAAUUAAGAAGCUUCAGGAUAGAAGCCAUGUCUGCCCUCUACUUGGUUUCAGACAUCUCACAUUUUUCCAUGAUUUGUCAAAGGCUUAAUCAGCAUAUUUGCUCCCACAUUGCCCCAGAACAGUAGCACAUCUGAUAUCGCUUUGAGUUUGGACUUGACAUCAGCCAAUCAGUCAAAUUUUCCAAAUGUCCAGUACAAGGAAAGCAAUCCUUCUUUUGCUGCCCAGACCACUUCAUAAAGAAGAUACAGAUCUUCCCCUUGUCUGUUAUUCAGCACAUCUUCAACAGCUGAAGGAGGCCUUGGUGCCACGUAAGCAAAGAGCAGGAAAGCUCAUGGUGAGAGCCUUCUGGAGCUUUAAAUGCCAGAGUAUUUUUAUGCAAAACAAAUGUCUGUUACCUCAUAUUAUGGAUUUAAUGUCUGCUAUUUUCAACUUUCACCAUUUUAUUAAAAUAAAGUAAAUGUUUUUUUUUUUUCUUUUUUUUUUUUUUACCUGUCUGUUUUUAAUUUUCUCAUAUAUAUCUGGAAUGAGGAGGAACUGUUUCAGAAGACUUGAAAAAAUAUAGAAGCAAGAAAGAGACCUUUUUUUUUUUUUUUUUUCAUCACAGUUUUAGUGUUUUAGUAUAAGGUUCCGGCAGCUUAUUUGAGCUGCUCAGUUCUGAUGUCAUAACACCUUAAAAAGGAGGCAUGCUGCCUUGACUGAUGGUUCAGAAUACUACAGAUUGAUGCAUGAGCUCACUAGAGGGAUAGACAGAGUGGGUUCAGAAGUGUAGCCCCAAAAUAUCUGUUAGAGUGCAGCCCAUGGGGGUUACUCUUGGCCUGUCACCAGUAUCUCUCUGGAUGGACCUCAUGAGGUUGAACCAGUGCUGUGCAUUGCGUGAUUCCCUUAAUGUGGGAUGCUGUGUUUUGGGGAAGCAUAGGCAUUUGCUUGUUGAACUUAUGUUUUGUUUUCCUUUUUCUUUUCUUAUGGAAAAAGCACAAGGUCCCUCCAUGCCACAUCACUCUGUCAUGAGAGAACUUUGGCAGGAGCAAGGCAUUAAAUGGUUUGUACAAGGCUGCCUUUAUGCAUUCGCAGGUGUCUAAGUUGAGGUAUGCAGGGAAUUUCAUAGACCAGCCUGGAUCUUGUUUUCAGUCACAUAUCAAAAUGCGUGCCAUGCCUACUUAGCAUGAAAAACAUGCCAAACAUGGAAGCAAUGAAAGUCUGAAUAGGAGAAUAUCACCUUUUAAAAACCAUUAAUAAAGUUUUCAAAAAUAAAAAUAAGUAGAAUUCAUUACCCUAAAAUGUAGCCUUUAAUCUUUUCAAGGCUGGCAUGAGCCCUAACCAUAGGUUUUGGAGUAAUUAAAUGAUCAUAUAAUACUAAAAUGAUUAUGUGGGCUUUCACAACCAAAUUUUAGACCUGUUGGGCUUUUCAGUAUGAUCUAAUGGCUGGUGCACAGAAGCUGUUGUUAAGACUCCCAGGCUCUGUUUCUCCUUUCUGCCAAGAUUUACAGCUAAUGAGAUGCUAUUUUCUGCACUGCCUGGCUAGUGCAAAACUGUAUUUGUUAAGGGUUGUUUUUAUGAGCUAAGAUUUACAGUUUCUAACGAUCACAUGCAAAGUAAACCUUUUAUUUACUUAACCACUAUGAAAAACUGCAUGUAACAAAAUCAUCAUAUAAUUCUUGCUGCAGAAACAUAGCUGCUUUACGGCCACUGUGAUUUUUUUAGACUUAUACAAAGAACCAAAUCUUGUCACCUUUGCUUAUGCUGAGUGGAAUCUUUGCAAGCAGUCCUGUAGAGAUGAUUUUUCAGUUUCAUGAAUAAUUUUCUGAGACUUUGGUGGAAAAGAAGUCUGAAAACUGAAAAAAGUGGAAUGAACAACAUUUUCAGAGCCAAGGAGCAAAUUGGUCUUUUCUGUUCAGACCAUUGUUUGGAUUUGGGCGUAUCCCAAACAACUGCAGCCACUCGAACCAAGGGAAGAGGACCCCUACCAGGUGGAUUCCCAAAGGAAAUGUGGUGGAGUUCCCAGGCCACCACAAAGAAGAGGUCUGCUGCUCCUGUUGCCCCUAAAUGUGUACUCAAGACACUUGUCUUCUUUUCUGUUCAUGUCGUGUUUCACUUGACUCCCAGGCAGCCAUGGAAAGGUUUUUCCAAAUGCAUACUCUCCUCACAGAUAUGAUCAAAAGCCUAUGGAAAGCAGUGCAGAUACUCCUGCUGAUAUUCAGUGUGGGCCCUGUGCCAUCUAUUGCAACUGAGAAGCCAUCCGUGCUCCAUGCUUAGUGAGGAAUGCUGCAGCUUGUCCAGGGAAUACUGAAGUCACUUAGCACUUACAUUAAAAAACAUCAAAUAUAAGUGGAAUGGUGUAACUAGGUUGCCAAAAAUAUAUUACAUGGCUGGCUGUAAAAGUAGGUGGCAGGCACAGGAAAUAGGAUUACUGUGUUCCAGGUUUUCUUUGUUGCAAUCUUCCCUUGCCUCUUCAUGGAAACCGACAUUAACCUUCAAUAACUGAAAAUGAUCUGUAUUUAAAAUAUCAGAACCAAUCUUGUCCUUGAUUUACUACUUGACUAGGAAUAGGUUCAGUGAUGUGCUGACAGACAUCAUUCUGCCUAUCAAAUGCAGAGGCUGUGGGUAUUUGACAUCGUUUUUAACUAAUGGACUAGAGGUCAUUAUUCUGAAUUUCAGAAACCACCCACUAAUGUCUGGGGAGACUUCAACUCCUAAGUCACUUGGAUGUUUCUGAAAAAACUCACACACCAUAUUUCUUUUGGAAAGGAAAAAGCCCCAGGCGAGUUUUGUAAGAAUACAUCUAAUUAAAUAGCACAGUAAUGAAAACAAAGAAAUAAAAGUUAAUCCAGAGUUAGAAUAAAUACAAGUGAUGGGAUUGAGUUUCUCCUGGAAUAGAACUCUGCUGGCAUCAGUCAGCUUGGAGAAGGAAUGAAUCUAUGCCACCAUUUCUGUUUACCUUACAAAGCCAGGAGAGAAAUAUGGAAAUACACAAAGAAAAUUCUGAGAAAGGCUGUAGCCUACUAAUGAGAUAAAUGUUCCAAGUGACUUUUGAUAGUCCAAGCAACGCUUCUCCAGAGGAUGAUUCAGAGUGGGUACAGCAGGAUCUAGCUGUUCCUCUAGAGAAUUCUCUUUCUUCCAGUGACUAUAGGAAGGGAGCAUGGAGUUAUCUCACCGGCCCCAAAGCAGCCUCUGGAAAUGCCUACUGAAAGACUCCACAAGGAGUCCAACAAGUCCAACAGUUUCAAAACACUAGCUGUGAAGAGAAAUCAAACCACAGGAUACCUCCUCUGAGCCAUGAUAAUGCACCCAAAACUACCUGAGAAGCCUAGUACUCUUGAACUGGUCCUGCUUGGUGGGCAGAGGUCCUCCUACUGGUAGUCACAGGGACCAAUAUAUGUUUUCCACUUGCUAAAUCAAGUAUAAGUAUUUCCAAAACUGCAGACUCUGAUGGAGCUAAUUUUUAAAACUUUCACACAUAGAGGCAGUGAAAGUAGGCAGCCUUUUGGCCCACAGCAACUGCUGCUUUGUUAUAUCAUUUCUCCAUAUCUCUCCCCACUUCUGAGUAGCUAUCAUUUACCUUGAAGAGCAACCUUUGAGCAUUUGCUCUUUCUUCUGCUCAGAAGAUUCUUCAGUAUUAUUUUGGACUUCAGUAGCAAUCGGACUUUUGGUGAAAAGACUAGCAUAAGUUAUAUAACCAGAGUUUCCUGGAAAUUUGUAGGACUACAUGGUCGCCUUCCAUCUGUUUUCCAGAGUUCUACCAAGCAUAGAAAAUAAGCCAUGAAAAUAUAAUAGUGUGUUAACAACUAUCAAGGCCCCCUGCUGUCUUCUGUUCCAUCUCAGCAAGAGGUUAAAUUAUGCGAUAUAAUGCUAUAUAACACAAUAGUGUACUUUUUCCAUUUUAGGCUAUGACAUCAAUAUUCUUACAAUCAUAAAACAAAAUCAAAACCAAAUUCUCCUCUCUUCUCAUUAAGACAUACACUAUGUAUUUCAGAUCGUCUCUUGAGAAAAUUUUACAGACAAAUAUUAUAAAACAUGCAACACAUGUUUAUGAUCUCUAAUUCCAAGUAAAGUCCAGCCCAGAAACUUAAUUGAGGCACAUUUGCACUGAUUUUGAGGGAGUUUUGCACAGAUGAGGGUUGCCAGUUCUAAUCCAUAUUUGUUUCUGGACACUUUAACAUUUACAUUAAGUACAGAUGGACUUGAACAGAAUCCAAAUUUAAAUUAAAUCAAAGUUUGGAUUACCUGUCUCCAAAUGCUCAUGAUUCUUGUGGAUAUAAGAAGAAAGUAGUGGAUUGCUAGGUGAGUAUGUUUCAGAGAUGCUCAGCGUUGUCUCAGUUUUUUUACUACAUGCUGCUGGCAAUCAUAAUUUUUGUAAAGGUGACAUUAUUUAAAUUCAACUUGUGCCUAAAUGGGGGUGUUUAGUAGAGAUUUCUUUAUUUGUUGCCUAGAAAAUAAAUCUUUCCAAGAUUUUGCUUAUACGUGUAGUGACUAGAGGAGAAAAAGAACAGCCUUUUUGAAACUUCAGACACACUCAGAGUUAAAAUACUUCUCUGACAACUCUUCUCUAUUAGUGGGUAGAUGGUUAGAGUACAAAAGGAUGUGGUUUAGAUUUCUCCACCAACAUAAGCGUUUUUCCAUUUACAUGUACAAAUUUUGAAGGCUCUUGCCUGUUCAACUUAAAAUAUAACAGCACAUUUAUCUUACAGAAAUGAGGGGUUUUCUGUACAAUUCAUGUUGUGCAAUGAUCUCAGCAACCAAGUGACAUUCCAGACUGAAAUGAGAAAGAAAUAAUGAAAACAGAAACAACAGUCUGUUUUCCAGAAGCCCUCCACUUGCAGCUCCAAAUCAGAGCUUUUUUUAAAAAAAGGUCUCAUGUAAAAGUAAUGCAAGGUCAACAUUUUGAUUUCUGUCAUUUGAUCCAUUGUACAAAAUUCCUUUCUUUUUUCUCAAUCGACUGUAAAUAUUACUUCUGGAAAUUUGUUAACAUGAACGACCUAUUUAACUAUCUCAUAUAUAUUGACUUCUAUUGACUAUACUGUCAGCAUCAAAUCUUUUCUCUAGUGACCAGAGUGUAUCUAUAAAGGGCUCUCUUUUUUGGUUUGUCAACAAGCUCUGUAGAUACAAGUGAGCUACCUCCAAUUACACUAGAGUCCAUAUAAGCCUUUAUAAGAAGUGAGACCUGGAUAAGUUCUGGAAUAAGAAGAUAAAAAAUGCACGGUUUGGCACUGUUUUUGUAUGAAGUAAACUAUACAGGGAAAGAGUUAUCCACAGUUUCCAAUGCUUUUAUUUUAUGCUCUAUUUUUGCUAGUCAGGUAGUAUUAGAGCUCUGUUGAUUAAAAAAAACAAUCAAACAGCAACAACAAUGAACAAACAAAAGCAAGCCCCAAACAAUGCUUCUCAUUCUAUCUAUUUCCUGGUAAAUAUAUUAUUAAAGUGAGAAAAAACAUACUGAGUCAGAACUGAGGGUCAUUGAGCUCAUUUUUCCAUGUUAGCAUUUAUCAAUAAAGUACUUAGGGAAAAAGUAUCAAAAAAUAUGAAACCAUAAGCCAAAUAGGUUGUUGCUCGUGGCAGCAGACUAAUGGAGGAAAAAGCUGCUUAAGAAGCAUGGGAUAGUGAAGGGAAGAAUUAGAGUUGUGACCCUAUAAUUCAGGAGUGUACACCUUAGAAGAGCAUUGGCUGAAGGGAUUUCCUAUUGCCCUGGGUAUCUGGGGUAGAAAAAAAUAGAAAAAGAAAGGAACAGUUCCUCUAACUCAGCACAGAGCCCCAUGAAAUCUAUAAUCUUCUUCAAUAUCCUGAUCUCUCCUGGCCUCAUUCCUAAUACAGAGCUAUUCCAGGUCUCCCUUCUCCUUCAACUUUCUUUUCAUUCUGAAACUUCCCAUCUCCAAAAAUUGUUCUGUUUCUCUCAUCCUUCUCAUCCUCUGUUUCUCUCAUCCUUCUCAUCCUCCUUUCCUUGUGUAUGCUCAAAAUUCAUGUGGACUUCAAUGUUAAAAUUUCAUAUAUGUUUCCCUUUAGGUCCAUUGUUUUUGUGUAUGUGUGUAUUUUUCUGCUGGAAUGUCAUUGGAUUAGACAAUAGCCUACUGGGAAAGCUCAAACAGAUUAUUCUUUCCCUAGAAGAAUAAUGCUAACAUUAAUUUGUCUAAGAAAUAUGAGAGGAAUCAAAACCAUUAAAAAAGAGAAAAAAAAAAUAAAGAAGAAAAAAGGUGGAUACACAUUCCUAAGAUGUUAUGAACACCUAAAUAAGUAAUAACUGUAGAGUUUGCUUUAUACGGGAAAGACUUAAGAUGCAUCACAGGUAAAACUGUAAGCCAUGCAGUCCUUCAACUUUUUCUAUCUAAUAAAAGACUAUUUUGGAUGGAGAGAAUUGAAAUAACACCUCUCUGUGUACUUGAUUUUUGUUUCUGAGACUGCUCAACUUGUUAAAACAUAGCAAAUGGAAUAGAUGACAGAAGAGUUCUCCUUGUCUUUCCUUUUUAGUAGCAUUGAUCUCUUCACCCAAUUUUUAUUUUCUACAAAAUAUUUUACAUGAAUAAUUGCCUGUGGGAUUUCUAUCAAUUUUUAAGACAUGGCUGAAAUUAGACAAAAAUGUUCUAAGGAUAUGGGGGAUUCUCAGGAAGACUGGUAAUGUGUUCCCCUAAGACUAUUUUUCUGAUGCUUAAAACCAAGCUAAAACAGUUUUAUUUAUAUAUUUUUUCAAGUUGAUUUUAAUUUCUUAGAUCAAGGUUACAUUAAUUUAAAUCUCUUCAGAACAACAGAAUCACUGUACAGCUAAGAUCCAAAAUGGGUAGUAACUCCAAGCACAUAAACUGAACAUGCACAUGAAUAAAUCAGUAGCGCAUGCGUGUUCACACUCUCUCUCUUUCAUUCUCCCUUUCUUUUUAAGAUUCAUUCUUUUCAACUCAAUUGGUUUAUGUUGUUUCAAUAUUUUAGUUGAUUGAUAUAGAGAAGGCUGUAAAUAUACACAAUGGGCUUGCCAGGUACAAGAAUACAUGCAUGCUUAUUUUCUAAAGCAAUAAACGUUUUCUAUAAAGUCUCCAUAGCCAAAUUACACAAGCCAACAGCAUAAAUGCUAAGUGAUGUGCUUUUUACUGUUGUCUUUUUGAGGAAAAUAUGGGUCCCAGUUAUUUAUUUAGUUCUUUAUUUAUUAAUACAGUAUCUGCAAACCACCUGCAAUGGCAGCUUCUUCUGCAGACUGACUGGCACCCUGGUUUCCAUGGCAACAGAAGAAAAAAAAGGAACGAAGUCAAAUGAAAGCAGUGAAUGCCUAAGCUUUACUGGUAACUGGGGGAAAAAAAGGAGGCCUCAUUUACAUUCUGGUGCAUAAACCAGCUAAGUGAUGUUUCCUGAAUAAUUUCUGGUGGCUUGAAACUGCACAUUCACAUAGAGUUUAUAUUUUUUUAUUAUGACAGUACUAAAAAUUCCCAUAUCAGAUUAUUUGUACAAAUUACAGGUGGUGGAAAAACACAGAUGAACAACUGAAAUGUUUAGUUAAUUGCUUUAUGUGCUCUAAAAAGAAAUAAAAUGGACUGCUAAAUUAUAGUGACUAAAACAAGAGAGUUGGUUGGAAAGUUUUCUUCAUCUGUGACACAAAUAUGUUGUGUUGAAGAAACAUCUGCUAUGCUAAGUGACCCAUUUCUAAACAAACAGCUUAAGAAAAGAGAGAAAUCUAAAUACAAACAAAGCCCCUUUUAGUCUUUUAGACAAUUCCUGUGACAAUAACACAUUCCAAGGAGACGUGCAUAUAUUUGGACUGUAAGACUUCUUGGACUGCCUUUUGGUUUAUUACUGCCCUCCAUACAAACAGGGCCUUAAUCCUGAGGCUUUGAGGUACUACUGUGACAAAAGUGGGUAGUAAUAAACAUAUAUAUCAAAGUUCCUUAUAAAAAAAAAUCAAAAAUAUAUUGUAUAUAGAAUUCAUGAAAACCUUAAUUCCUGACUGAUUUAGGGGAAGAUUAUCUUAUUUUAAGAAAAGUAUUUUUAGGAUUUAUUUAUCAGUUUGUGAGAAAUCAUCCCUUUCCAAGCACUAAAAAAAAAAAAAAAAAAAAAGGAAAGAAAGAAAGAAAGAAAAAAAAAGAUACUUAAAACACCUUCCAGGCUUUAAUUUUAGUCUUCCAGUUAAACAUUUGUCUAAACUCAGACAGAAGUCCAGAACUGCCUAGUAUUCCCAUCAUUUGAACCACAGGGUUCAUUGUCUUCACUUCUUUGAGCCAAGACUUCAUACCACAGUAGAAAGAACCUCCACAAGAACACCUUUGCCAGGUCAUUUUACUGGUAGACCUUAAAUUCUGAUUUUUCCUACAUGUGCUGGGCUCACUGAGUUCCAUUGCAUUGAUUCCCAUUCCAUUCCAUUGAUUCCUCUAUAAAAUGUCAAAAUUUUAUAUAUUUAAUGUUAAGCAUGAUAUUUUCAUCUGAAUCUUGUGAUUCUUGAUACAGUUUUGAAACUUGGUCUACUGGAACCAUAAUUGUUUGAAAAUACUUGCUUUAUUAUUUUUUUUUUAAAAGAAGCAUUAAAGAUUUUUUUUGUUUGAAAAUAUGAAACUUAAAGACCUUGAAUCCAUGGAGCAAAUAACAAGUAGAAAUACAUAUUAAGAAUUAAUAUCUCUUAACUUUCAAGAUAAAUCUAUGCUUUUAUCUGAAAGCUUGUGGUUGGUAUUCUAAGUUCCUCUCAUCAUGCUUGGCUGCAGAGGAGACUUGUUCCUUUAUUGAAGUACAAGUGGACUGGGCUUAAAACUAUUGGAUGGACUUUUUUUAUUAUUAUUAUUUUUUUAAUUUAUUUGAGUCACUUUGUAAUUUUGUUUUUCCUUGUGAAUAUAUGUAAAAUAUAAAAAUAUGCAUUUAUAUUUUUUUCUCAAGACAUGUCUAAUUACAUCACUAUUGUACAGUAGUCUGAGCCCUGUUGAUUUAUUUGCAAGGAUAUCUUUCAUUUUAGGUGUAUAAAUGCUCUGAUAGAUAUCAGGAAAGAGCAGAUGGACUCACAAAAGACAUGCAAAAGCUGCCUUCCUUCUGCCAAAAGCUUUUCACACUCUCACUUUAUCUGGCUUCAGUGGGAUUUCUUGGAGGGAGAGAGCUCUCUGUGGGCCCCACAGCUUUGGGGAGUACAGUAAUCAGUUCUGCAUUGAUUUAUUAAUUUUUUAAUAAAUUUAUUAAUUUGCUUACCUUUAGUGACCAGAGUCCUUUCAGGAGGGCCCCUGCAUCCACCUCUGGAAGAAUAUGUAUUCAGUAUUUUCAAC